rnacentral:lncRNA from 1 species
AAAACAGGGGAGAAAUCUGUUGAAGCUAUUGAGAAAACACAGGAUUCAUCGGAAGUUCAUCCUAUUAAAGAAUCAGAAGCAGUUGCAGUAAAAGAUAUCAAUGAUUCAGUAGCAGUGCCUGAAGUUGAUAAACCAGAAUCAGCAGUUCCUGAAGUUGAGGUUAAACAAGAAAAGCAAUCUGAAGUAAUUGAACAAGUGGAAAAACCAGAAUCAGCGGUUCCUCAGGUUGAGGUGAAAUUGGUGGAACAACCUGAAGUAACUGAACAAGUUGAAAAACCAGAAUCAUUGGGUCCUGAGGUUGAGGUGAAACCAGAAGAACAACCUGAAGUCACUACACAUACGGAAAAACAAAAGAAACAUGAAGUAGAGUUGAAAACUGAGGCACGAUCUGAAGUUAGUGAACAGGUUGAGAUUAAGCCAACUAAUGAAAAGCCAGAGGAAGUAGCUGGAAUUACUCAGGAGGCUGAAGUUGAU